rnacentral:lncRNA from 1 species
AAGCAGUUUUACCUCUUAAUAUAUUGUCUCUUUUUCGCAUCUUUUUUCCCCUCUCCUGGUUGAUAGGUUAUUACUAUGUGAUGAGAAACCCGAACUAAUGUGGCUGCAGAUAUGCGAGACAAACAAUGAAGGAGAUAAUAAUAAAUACACCAAUGCGUUGCAUCCCUGGAAACGUUCAAAUUAAAGAUCUUUUUGUUUGACGCCACUAUGGGCAGAGGCAGCACUUCAAUACGUCAUAUGUGAAAAAGAUAGUAAAAUUUUCCUUGCUGCUCAUGUUCUUCUCUGUUCUUUCUCGCUCAUUAUCGGAUGCACGACGACUUAAAAUGCCAAAACCUUCAAGCAAGAAUGCCAAGAAAAGUGAAGCCAAUGAACCAAAGGAAUCUUCAACAGCAGAUGCAAUAGCAGAGAACAAGAACGGGAAUAUUGUUUUAAGCAUUCAAGCCAAACCUGGAGCAAAACAAAAUAACAUCGUAGAUAUCAGUUCAGAAGGUAUUGGUGUCCAAAUCAAUGCACCUCCAGUAGAAGGAGAGGCCAUACAGAGCUAGUCAAAUUUUUAUCAAAAGUUCUUGGAAUUAGAAAAAGUGAUUUAAAUCUGGAUAAAGUUAGUAUUUUUUUUUUUUUCAUUUUAUUUUAUUUGAGUGGCUUUAGAAAUGUCUGAUAGUUCGGUUCAUGAAACUUUUUGUAUUAUUUCAUUUUUCCCUAGUGAGUAAAUAAAAGAUGGCAACAUUAGCUCUGAUAUGCUGCUGUUAAAAUGUAAAUAAAAUUUCAUUCUUAAUAUUACAGGUAUUGAUGUCUCCAUCAUUUUACCUUAAAUUUGAAAGGAAAAAGAAACAAAUUGUGAAUUUCAGCAUUAAGGUGUGCGAAAUAGUUAAGAAAAAAAAAUGGGUACACAUUUUCAACUAAAAAGUAUGCUUCUUUGCUACAGAUUAAUUAUUUUCAUUUUUCUCCUUUUUUCAGGGCUCAAGAUCUAGGAAGAAAGUUAUUGUCAUCGAAAAAAGCGCUAUAUCAAUUGAUGAAGUUCGCAAAGAUAAAUGAGGAGAUAGCAAGAAACUAAUAAUAUUUAAUUUUAUUAAGAGGUAAUGUUAAAAUGCUUGAAAAAAUAAUUUUACAUUUUGCUGAACGCAAGAAAUAUAACAAAUUAAGCUGUACUCAAUGCAUUUGUAAUUGUUACUUUACAAAAUAAAGUCUGUGAUAAUUAAAGUAUCUUUUUAUCACUUUUCUGUAUACCUCAAAUGAAUUUAAUCAUUGAAACAAGCUAACACAGGUAUGAACUGUACUGAAUAGCAUCACAGUUCACCCUUAUCAUGGUUCCAGCAGGAAAAGUUGCAUAGUUGUCAAGGAG